rnacentral:rRNA from 1 species
GUGAACUUGGUGCCAGAAGCUGCGGUAAUACGAAGGAUCCAAGCGUUAUGCGGAUUUAGUGGGUUUAAAGGGUGCGUAGGCGGCUUAUUAAGUCAGAGGUGAAAGCCUGGGGCUUAACUCCAGAACUGCCUUUGAUACUGAUGAGCUUGAAUAUAGUUGAGGUAGGCGGAAUGUGUCAUGUAGCGGUGAAAUGCUUAGAUAUGACACAGAACACCGAUUGCGAAGGCAGCUUGCUAAACUAUAAUUGACGAUGAGGCACUAAAGCGUGGGGAUCAAACAGGAUUAGAUACCCGGGUAGUC